UACGUAGGGUGCGAGCGUUAAUCGGAAUUACUGGGCGUAAAGCGUGCGCAGGCGGCUUUGCAAGACAGAUGUGAAAUCCCCGGGCUUAACCUGGGAACUGCAUUUGUGACUGCAUGGCUGGAGUGCGGCAGAGGGGGAUGGAAUUCCGCGUGUAGCAGUGAAAUGCGUAGAUAUCAAGAGGAACACCUGAGGUGAAGACGGGUUGCUGGGCUGACACUGACGCUGAGGCGCGAAAGCCAGGGGAGCAAACGGG
rnacentral:rRNA from 1 species